UAUACAUGCAAGUCGAGCGGACCGACGGGAGCUUGCUCCCUUAGGUCAGCGGCGGACGGGUGAGUAACACGUGGGUAACCUGCCUGUAAGACUGGGAUAACUCCGGGAAACCGGGGCUAAUACCGGAUGCUUGAUUGAACCGCAUGGUUCAAUCAUAAAAGGUGGCUUUUAGCUACCACUUACAGAUGGACCCGCGGCGCAUUAGCUAGUUGGUGAGGUAACGGCUCACCAAGGCGACGAUGCGUAGCCGACCUGAGAGGGUGAUCGGCCACACUGGGACUGAGACACGGCCCAGACUCCUACGGGAGGCAGCAGUAGGGAAUCUUCCGCAAUGGACGAAAGUCUGACGGAGCAACGCCGCGUGAGUGAUGAAGGUUUUCGGAUCGUAAAACUCUGUUGUUAGGGAAGAACAAGUACCGUUCGAAUAGGGCGGCACCUUGACGGUACCUAACCAGAAAGCCACGGCUAACUACGUGCCAGCAGCCGCGGUAAUACGUAGGUGGCAAGCGUUGUCCGGAAUUAUUGGGCGUAAAGCGCGCGCAGGCGGUUUCUUAAGUCUGAUGUGAAAGCCCCCGGCUCAACCGGGGAGGGUCAUUGGAAACUGGGGAACUUGAGUGCAGAAGAGGAGAGUGGAAUUCCACGUGUAGCGGUGAAAUGCGUAGAGAUGUGGAGGAACACCAGUGGCGAAGGCGACUCUCUGGUCUGUAACUGACGCUGAGGCGCGAAAGCGUGGGGAGCGAACAGGAUUAGAUACCCUGGUAGUCCACGCCGUAAACGAUGAGUGCUAAGUGUUAGAGGGUUUCCGCCCUUUAGUGCUGCAGCAAACGCAUUAAGCACUCCGCCUGGGGAGUACGGUCGCAAGACUGAAACUCAAAGGAAUUGACGGGGGCCCGCACAAGCGGUGGAGCAUGUGGUUUAAUUCGAAGCAACGCGAAGAACCUUACCAGGUCUUGACAUCCUCUGACAACCCUAGAGAUAGGGCUUCCCCUUCGGGGGCAGAGUGACAGGUGGUGCAUGGUUGUCGUCAGCUCGUGUCGUGAGAUGUUGGGUUAAGUCCCGCAACGAGCGCAACCCUUGAUCUUAGUUGCCAGCAUUCAGUUGGGCACUCUAAGGUGACUGCCGGUGACAAACCGGAGGAAGGUGGGGAUGACGUCAAAUCAUCAUGCCCCUUAUGACCUGGGCUACACACGUGCUACAAUGGGCAGAACAAAGGGCAGCGAAGCCGCGAGGCUAAGCCAAUCCCACAAAUCUGUUCUCAGUUCGGAUCGCAGUCUGCAACUCGACUGCGUGAAGCUGGAAUCGCUAGUAAUCGCGGAUCAGC
rnacentral:rRNA from 1 species